CGCAGUGUAGCUGUAAAUUACAUGGAUACGGACGACUUGCAGUUGAUGAAGCAAUAAGCGUCGUCGACGAAGACAACUAUGGAAACGUUAUCAAACAGUCUAGCAAUGAAGAUGAAGUCAUGUUUCAACCAAAGAAUCAUCAAGAGCCAAGAAUUUCCGAUAGAGUCAAACGGACGACAUCUCACAUUGUUGAAAAUGUGAUAGCGCGCCAAGAUGGCGAAUCGAGACUUGUAACGUGGUCGCUUGCACGUGCAGGAGGUGUCAUUCCUGUCAAU